rnacentral:misc_RNA from 1 species
CCUGGGUUUGUGCAAAGCGUAUCCGGAUAUGCCUAGGAUCCUCUGUGCG